GCAAAAAGAUAUUUAACAUUAUUAAUAAACUUAACCGGCGGACCCCUUGGACCGGUGAUGAUUUAUUUAGACUACGUUGCGUUUUGUCUGUGAUUUCAAAACAAAACGCAAUUCCAUAAACCCAUUCUGAUUACUUGAACAGCACCUUUAUGUGUCGCUACAACCUUUUGAGGGCUGGGCCUCAGGUCAUUUGCUUAUAUUGGUCCAUGGUAUACAUGGUAUCAUCACUGAGCGCGUGCAAAAUGCCCACAUAUAAAGUACAUUGGUGCACAGCCGGGGAUCGAACAUACGUCCUCAAACAUCCUUGGUCGUUGCUGUGCAUUUAACGUCACGUUUCUAUAUUAGAUUUUUCGUUUUGGUCGUUGUUGUGUUUUUAAUCGAUUUCUCGAAUCAAUUACCACUUUGAAUCAUUAUUUUUAAGGCUGUUAUAGCAGUAGUGCAAUGAUAAAAACGAACUAACAUGAAUAUUAUUUUGUUAUUUGCCAUGUUUAUAGCUAUACAAACGCUUAAUUCACUAUCAAAUAUAAUAUCCGAAGAAAUAGAUUAUGUCCGACCACACGAAGUUGCAGCGAGGGACAAAUUUACAAAAAUAUUUGGUAAUCAUCUUUUAAAAGGAAAGAGAAACAAAACUAAAAAACCAAAGAUGAAAAAGAAAGAGAAGGAGAAACCAAAAUCUAAAGGAAACAGAUUUGAAAUUAGAAUAGGUGACACACAGAUUAAUAUCUCCCAGGGAUCCAUUGUUAAAGUUGAAACGCGGAACGAGACGUCUACGACAUAUAAUGUGUACAAGCAGCAGGAUUGUAAAAAUUGUGGAAAGCCAUUCCAAAAUUGGCCUUUUGACAGACCGUUUCCGUGGAAUUGAUGUUUUGAAAUGAAUAAAAAAAGUCAAUCAAUGUCGGGGUUAGAUUAGCUGAACUUAUUGUAAUAAAUGAAUCAUUGGCGUUACAAUUUC